GCCGGGCGUGGUGGCGAGUGCCUGUAAUCCCAGCUACUCAGGAGGCUGAGGCAGGAGAAUUGCUUGAAUCCAGGAGGCAGAGGUUGCAGUGAGCCGAGAUUACGCCACGGCACUCCAGCCUGGGUGACAAAGCAAUACUCUGUCUCAA
rnacentral:SRP_RNA from 1 species